GCUAACCCUGUCGCCGGUGGUGCUUUCGCGAGGAAGCUAAGAGGGAACACCGGUCAGGGGAUUUCAUCUCCAAGUCCGGGACUGUGCCCGCAACUGUAGGCGGCGAGCCUUGAUGCCAUAAGCCACUGGGAGCGAUCCCGGGAAGGCGGCAUCGAAAAAGGCGUUGACCCGCAAGUCAGGAGACCUGCCACCGCAGUCGCUUGUGC
rnacentral:ncRNA from 2 species